rnacentral:rRNA from 1 species
GAUGUGAAAUCCAAUGGCUCAACCAUUGAACUGCAUUUGAAACUGCUAGACUAGAGUAUGGGAGGGGGAGAUGGAAUUAUUGGUGUAGGGGCAAAAUCCGCAUAUAUCACUAGGAAUACCUAACGCGAAAGCGAUCUCCUGGAACAUAACUGACGCUAAG